AUAAGCCAUGCAAGUUGAAUGGGAUACCUAAAUUUUCCAUAGCAAACUGCUCAGUAACACAUGAUCAACUUGCCCUAUGGAGAAAAAUAACCUCGGGAAACUGAGGAUAAUAUUUCAUAGUUGAAUGGGCUUGGAAAAGUUUUUCAAUGAAAAGGAAAAGAUAAAUGGAUCUUUUCUGCCAUAGGAUAGGAUCGUGGUCGAUUAUGGUAGUUGGUGAGGUAAUGGCUCACCAAGCCGAUAAUCGAUAGGGGCCGUGAGAGCGGGAGCCCCGAGAUGGGUACUGAGACACCGACCCAGACCUUACGAGGUGCAGCAGGCGCGAGACCUCCGCAAUACACGAAAGUGUGACGGGGUUACCCAAAGUGUUCAUUUUUGAACUGUGGUAGGUGAGUAAUGUCCCCUACUAGAAAGGAGAGGGCAAGGCUGGUGCCAGCCGCCGCGGUAAAACCAGCUCUUCAAGUGGUCGGGAUGAUUAUUGGGCUUAAAGUGUCCGUAGCCGGUUUAGUAAGUUCCUGGUAAAAUCAGGUAGCUUAACUAUCUGUAUGCUAGGAAUACUACUAUACUAAAGGGCGGGAGAGGUCUGAGGUACUACAGGGGUAGGGGUGAAAUCUUAU
rnacentral:rRNA from 1 species